GCAGAUUCAUUCCAGCCAAUCAGCAAGAGACCCUCCCUCCCAGACCCUCCCAACUCCUGGACAGCAUCCAUUUUGAAGCUGCAUUCUUAGUGAGCUGUCCAGGAGGUGGGAGGGUCUGGGAGGGAGGGUCUGCUGCUGAUUGGCUUUAAUGUGUCU